rnacentral:tRNA from 1 species
UGACCAUGGCAAAAAUGGUUGAUGCGGUGCCCCUACUAAGGGCACGGCAGGCAACAGAUUGUUUUGACCAUGGCAAAAAUGGUUGU